rnacentral:lncRNA from 1 species
AGAGAUCACGCAUCCCUCUUAAUAGUGCGGUAUUUCUAUACUCAAACUAAAACCGAAAAUAAAUUUAGACUUGAGAAUAUGUCGUUCAUCAUUUCAUUUCCUUUUGAGGGGUCCAUCACAAGUGCUUCAUGACCAACAAUCCUUUUAAACCUGCUUAUGCACUUGAAACUUUAUUAGACACUUAAGCUUGCAUCAUUAAAUCACCAAAACCCACUUAAGGGGGCCAAAAUACUCUUCAAUCUUCCCCUUUUUGGUGAUUGAUGACAACAUGCUUAAGUCUUACAAGAGAUAGAAUAAAGUAUCAAAAUGUAAGUGAAAAGCGAGAACAUGUGCAACACCCCUUAAUUUAUGCCAUAGAAUUUGAAUUUCAUGAAUGACUUUUUAGAUGUCAUUUGGCACUAUGAAUGAGAUGAGAGCACAUGUACUUGACAACAGUGGGGUGCAAGAAAAGUGUGUGACAAUUCAUCUGUGAUGCAUAUAUGACAAAAAAUCCACUUCAACAAAUAAUCAAAGAGAAAUAUAACAGGAUGUCUAGAGAUUUCUAGAAUAAUCUCUGGAAAUUCAAUUCUCCACACAUUUCUGACAAACUGAAAAACAAUCAUCACAGAAAUUUUCACAGUAACACAACCAACAAUCCUUAGGAAGAUAAAAGCAGUCUAAGCACACAUUACACCCAUUACAAGUUCAUGCUCACAUAGUUACAAGCCAUAAAGACAAAAUGAUAGAGUUUGAUACACAAAAGCAUCCAGCCCACAAAUCACUCCCCCUUUGACAUCGAGUGCCAAAAAGGAAAUGAAACCACCAAAGAGUAGCUACUCCUCAUCAUCAUAGUCAUCCUCCUCCUCCUCAUCAUCAUCGUCGUCCUCGUCGUCCUCUUCUU